GCAACUGACGCUCAUGCUCGAAAGUGCGGGUAUCGAACAGGAUUAGAUACCCUGGUAGUCCGCACGGUAAACGAUGGAUGCCCGCUAUUUGUCCAUUAGGAUAAGUGGCCAAGUGAAAACGUUAAGUAUCCCACCUGGGGAGUACGCCGGCAACGGUGAAACUCAAAGGAAUUGACGGGGGCCCGCACAAGCGGAGGAACAUGUGGUUUAAUUCGAUGAUACGCGAGGAACCUUACCCGGGCUUGAAUUGUGAGAGAAGGAUCCAGAGAUGGUGACGCCCUUCGGGGCUCUCAUGAAGGUGCUGCAUGGUUGUCGUCAGCUCGUGCCGUGAGGUGUCGGCUUAAGUGCCAUAACGAGCGCAACCCCUCUCUUCAGUUGCCAUCAGGUUAAGCUGGGCACUCUGGAGACACUGCCACCGUAAGGUGUGAGGAAGGUGGGGAUGACGUCAAAUCAGCACGGCCCUUACGUCCGGGGCUACACACGUGUUACAAUGGGUGGUACAGAGAGUUGGGUGCCCGCAAGGUCACUCUAAUCAAUAAAUCCAUCCUCAGUUCGGACUGGGGUCUGCAACCCGACCCCACGAAGCUGGAUUCGCUAGUA
rnacentral:rRNA from 1 species